rnacentral:rRNA from 1 species
AGCGAACGCUGGCGGCAGGCCUAACACAUGCAAGUCGAACGAAGCCUUCGGGCUUAGUGGCGGACGGGUGAGUAACACGUGGGAACGUACCUUUAGGUUCGGAACAACUCAGGGAAACUUGAGCUAAUACCGGAUAAGCCCUUCGGGGGAAAGAUUUAUCGCCUUUAGAGCGGCCCGCGUUAGAUUAGCUAGUUGGUGAGGUAAAGGCUCACCAAGGCUACGAUCUAUAGCUGGUCUGAGAGGAUGAUCAGCCACACUGGGACUGAGACACGGCCCAGACUCCUACGGGAGGCAGCAGUGGGGAAUCUUGCGCAAUGGGCGAAAGCCUGACGCAGCCAUGCCGCGUGAAUGAUGAAGGUCUUAGGAUUGUAAAAUUCUUUUACCAGGGACGAUAAUGACGGUACCUGGAGAAAAAGCCCCGGCUAACUUCGUGCCAGCCGCCGCGGUAA